rnacentral:tRNA from 1 species
ACAUUACAUGACUUUGUCAAAGUUAAAUUAUAGGUGAAACCCCUAUAUAUCUCU